ACGCUGGCGGCAUGCCUUACACAUGCAAGUCGAACGGCAGCACGGAGCUUGCUCUGGUGGCGAGUGGCGAACGGGUGAGUAAUAUAUCGGAACGUACCCUGGAGUGGGGGAUAACGUAGCGAAAGUUACGCUAAUACCGCAUACGAUCUACGGAUGAAAGUGGGGGAUCGCAAGACCUCAUGCUCGUGGAGCGGCCGAUAUCUGAUUAGCUAGUUGGUAGGGUAAAAGCCUACCAAGGCAUCGAUCAGUAGCUGGUCUGAGAGGACGACCAGCCACACUGGAACUGAGACACGGUCCAGACUCCUACGGGAGGCAGCAGUGGGGAAUUUUGGACAAUGGGCGAAAGCCUGAUCCAGCAAUGCCGCGUGAGUGAAGAAGGCCUUCGGGUUGUAAAGCUCUUUUGUCAGGGAAGAAACGGUGAGGGCUAAUAUCCCUUGCUAAUGACGGUACCUGAAGAAUAAGCACCGGCUAACUACGUGCCAGCAGCCGCGGUAAUACGUAGGGUGCAAGCGUUAAUCGGAAUUACUGGGCGUAAAGCGUGCGCAGGCGGUUUUGUAAGUCUGAUGUGAAAUCCCCGGGCUCAACCUGGGAAUUGCAUUGGAGACUGCAAGGCUAGAAUCUGGCAGAGGGGGGUAGAAUUCCACGUGUAGCAGUGAAAUGCGUAGAUAUGUGGAGGAACACCGAUGGCGAAGGCAGCCCCCUGGGUCAAGAUUGACGCUCAUGCACGAAAGCGUGGGGAGCAAAC
rnacentral:rRNA from 1 species